rnacentral:lncRNA from 1 species
UAUUUGAAUAUCUUGCGAAGGGCCUUGAUAACGGUGAAUAUUUUGCACUAUUUGUACAAAUAUUUACACCAUUUGUAUAGAUGUUGCACUAUUAUGAGAUAAUGUUACACCAUUUAAAUAUUAUGUUGCACUCUUUCUUUUUAAAAAUUAAAAUAUAUUGUAUAUUAAAUAAAGUGUUAAAUUUUUUGGAAAUGACAAUUGUUAAGCCAUAAUUAUAUGUACCUUUCUCGAGAGUCGAGAAUUCUCAUUUAAUUAAGAUAAAAUAAAAAAUAAAAUAUCAUUAAUACAAUGAAAGAUUGUAAUAUUCUUUUAAAGAGUGCAACAUAGUCUCAAAUAGUGCAACAUUCUCUUCCAAAUAGUGUAAUAUUUAUGUAAAUAGUGCAAUAUAUGCAUCGUUAAUACACAUAUUG